AUGCUUUGGCAGAAAAUAUCUUAAAAUUGGCACAGUCUGGAGAAGGUCAACAUGUCCCUUUGCAAGAAUGACACAGAAAAACAUGAAGCAUUUCAUUUUUUU